rnacentral:rRNA from 1 species
CGGAACGGGUGAGUAACGCGUGAGGAACCUGCCUCAAAGAGGGGGACAACAGUUGGAAACGACUGCUAAUACCGCAUAAGCCCACGGCUCGGCAUCGAGCAGAGGGAAAAGGAGUGAUCCGCUUUGAGAUGGCCUCGCGUCCGAUUAGCUGGUUGGUGAGGUAACGGCCCACCAAGGCGACGGUCGGUAGCCGGACUGAGAGGUUGAACGGCCACAUUGGGACUGAGACACGGCCCAG